rnacentral:rRNA from 1 species
ACCGCGGUCAUACAAGAAACCCAAAUCAAUAGCUACCCGGCGUAAAGAGUGGCCACAUGUUAUCUGCACCAGCUAAGAUUAAAAUGCAACCAAGCUGUCAUAAGCCUAAGAUCCACCUAAACCCAACCCAAAUCCAUCUUAGCCUAAACGAUUAAUUUUAACCCACGAAAGCUAGGACCCAAACUGGGAUUAGAUACCCCACUAUGCCUAGCCCUAAAUCUAGAUACCUCCCAUCACACAUGUAUCCGCCUGAGAACUACGAGCACAAACGCUUAAAACUCUAAGGACUUGGCGGUGCCCCAAACCCACCUAGAGGAGCCUGUUCUAUAAUCGAUAAUCCACGAUUCACCCAACCACCCCUUGCCAGCACAGCCUACAUACCGCCGUCGCCAGCCCACCUCUAAUGAAAGAACAACAGUGAGCUCAAUAGCCCCUCGCUAAUAAGACAGGUCAAGGUAUAGCCUAUGGGGUGGGAGAAAUGGGCUACAUUUUCUAACAUAGAACAAACGAAAAAGGACGUGAAACCCGCCCUUAGAAGGAGGAUUUAGCAGUAAAGUGAGAUCAUACCCCCUAAGCUCACUUUAAGACGGCUCUGAGGCACGUACAUACCG